rnacentral:lncRNA from 1 species
GUGGGACCCGACCCUGUCUCCAGUGGGCGUCUUGGGCCCCGGCUCUAUUCUGGGCUGCGGGCCUGGGAAGGGCUCGCCGGGUGCCAAAUGAGCUGUCCUAACUCUGCGGGGCUGCAGCUUCCUGCAUGAUGCUGGGGAGCUUGGCGCCUGACCCAGGAUCUAGAAGGCACUCUGGGCAGGCCGCGCUCCGCCCACGAAGGUUUAACCACCAAGGACUCUGAGAGCUGGCAGGUCUGAGUAACCCUGGUAACAAUUCUCUUCACCUUAUCAAAACCUGAGCUAAAACCAAUGCAUCAGCUGAUGAUGACAGCAGAGAGUGGCAGGGCUGAGGACCCAAAGUCAUUUCCCAGGCUGGCGGAGACUCAAGCUAAGCUAUUGCUCACCGU